AACAAACGCUGGCGGCGUGCCUAAUACAUGCAAGUCGAACGGGGAAAGCUUUCGGGUGAGUACUAGUGGCGCACGGGUGAGUAACGCGUGGAUAAUCUGCCUUAGAGUGGGGGAUAACUAGUCGAAAGAUUAGCUAAUACCGCAUAAGACCACAAGAACUGCGGUUCAAGGGGUCAAAGGUUUUUCGCUCUAAGAUGAGUCCGCGUAAGAUUAGCUAGUUGGUCGGGUAACGGCCUACCAAGGCGACGAUCUUUAACUGGUCUGAGAGGAUGAUCAGGAACAGUGGAACUGAGACACGGUCCAGACUCCUACGGGAGGCAGCAGUAGGGAAGAUUGCACAAUGGAGGAAACUCUGAUGCAGCGACGCCGCGUGAGUGAUGAAGGCCUUCGGGUCGUAAAGCUCUGUCGCAGGGGAAUAACACAAUGAAGGUACCCUGUAAGAAAGGAUCGGCUAACUUCGUGCCAGCAGCCGCCGUAAGAC
rnacentral:rRNA from 1 species